rnacentral:lncRNA from 10 species
GUGUCCAUAUCUAAAGUGCAUUUCUCAUGAGCAGUUUAGCGUUGGGUUUUGCUGUCCUACCCUCCCUGGCAAUCUCUGCUCUUAACUGGGGCUGUCUGACCACUUGCUCCGGUGUGGCUGUGGCUGCGUGGAGGCCACGCCUGCUGUCCUGCUCUGUUCCCAUUGGUCUCAGUGUGCAGUUGCCACGCCCACCUUCCUGUUCUCUGCUCCCUUUGGUCUCACUAUGCAGAGGCCACGCCUGCCAUCCUGUUCUCUGCUCCCAUUGGUCUCACUGUGUAGAGGCCACGCCCGCCGUCCUGCUCUCUGCUCCCGCUGCUGUCACCGGCUCUCCCUUUCCCAUUUCCUCUUCCUUCCUUGGAUUCUGUUUGAUGAUCCUGUUUGAUUGCAGUUGUUGGCUUAUGAGCCAGAAUUUUGUUUUGUUGUUUUAGUGGUUGCUUCAGGGUUCACAGUAAACAUCUUUAACUCACACGGUGAACCUUUUUGAGUGGGGCUGCACCUCCACCAGGGCAGAUGCUCCGCAGCGCACGUCACCCACCCUCUCCCCGCCGGGGCCAUCGCCGCAGGGCGGUUCCCUGGUGACUGCACUCCGCGCGGGUGCCAUUGGUAUGGUCUGGGUUGAACACUCUGAUAUUUCACCUGAAAGGCAGGUGCCCCAGCCCCGGGAGGCCCUCCUCAAGCCCUUGCCUGCUCUGGGACCCCUGGCUGCGGGCUGACCCUGAAGGGGCAUCUUGAGGCCAGGACUGGACCUGGCAAGGCCCCGGCCGAGGUCACGGCUCGAGUGUGACUGUGAACUUGGACAUCUGACCCCAAAGCUCACUCCUGGGACAAACCCAAGAGAAUCGGAAACAGACGUCACACAAAUUGUUGUCCACAGAUGUUCAAAGCAGACUCUUCAUAGCUGCUCAGGUGUCCACAAACGAUCGACAGAUAAGCCCAGCGUGGCCCUCCACACCAGGGAACAGGAUUCCACCAGGAAAAGAAUGAGGCCCGCACGGCUGCAGGGGGUGAGCCUGGAGAAUGGCGAUGGGGGACAGAAGCCAGACACACAGCCCCGACUGUGGAGAGCGUUUGGAACCAGACGGGAGUGAGGGUCACUCAACAUCGCAAAUGGACUAAAUGCUACCGAAUUGUACGCUUUAAAACGGUUCAUUUUAUGUGAUGUGAAUUUCAGCUCAAUAAAGAAAAAAGAUUUAAAAUGUGUCUUGAGGAGCCACGAG